AUAUCAAUAAGCGGAGGAAAAGAAACCAACAGGGAUUGCCCCAGUAACGGCGAGUGAAGCGGCAAUAGCUCAAAUUUGAAAUCUGGCCCUUUCAGGGUCCGAGUUGUAAUUUGCAGAGGGCGCUUUGGUGUCGGCAGCAGCCUAAGUUCCUUGGAACAGGUCAUCAUAGAGGGUGAGAAUCCCGUAUGUGGCUGCUUGUCUUCACCGUGUAAAGCCCCUUCGAUGAGUCGAGUUGUUUGGGAAUGCAGCUCUAAAUGGGAGGUAAAUUUCUUCUAAAGCUAAAUAUUGGCCAGAGACCGAUAGCGCACAAGUAGAGUGAUCGAAAGAUGAAAAGCACUUUGGAAAGAGAGUCAAAAAGCACGUGAAAUUGUUGAAAGGGAAGCGCUUGCAGCCAGACGUGCCCGUAGUUGCUCAUCUGGGGUUUUCCCCAGUGCACUCUUCUAUAGGCAGGCCAGCAUCAGUUCGGGCGGUUGGAGAAAGACCUGUGUCACGUAGCUCUCUUCGGGGAGUGUUAUAGGGCAGGUGGAAUGCAACCAGCCUGAACUGAGGUCCGCGCAUCUGCUAGGAUGCUGGCGUAAUGGCUGUAAGCGGCCCGUCUUGAAACACGGACCAAGGAGUCUAACAUCUAUGCGAGUGUUUGGGUGUCAAGCCCGAGCGCGUAAUGAAAGUGAACGGAGGUGGGAACCCCUCGGGGCGCACCAUCGACCGAUCCUGAUGUCUUCGGAUGGAUUUGAGUAAGAGCAUAGCUGUUGGGACCCGAAAGAUGGUGAACUAUGCCUGAAUAGGGUGAAGCCAGAGGAAACUCUGGUGGAGGCUCGCAGCGGUUCUGACGUGCAAAUCGAUCGUCAAAUUUGGGCAUAGGGGCGAAAGACUAAUCGAACUAUCUAGUAGCUGGUUCCUGC
rnacentral:rRNA from 1 species